rnacentral:rRNA from 1 species
AUGGCCGAGGACGCCCACGAGAUGCGCGAUUCCUCGCCGCCGCCUCCGGAGCAGGGCCCGUCCGUUCCGCUCGCCGACGAGGCGGGUGCCGAGGCGGCUCCGUCGAGUCCGGGGACGAGCGCGGCCACGCCAACUUCGCCGCCGGCGCCUCGGGAGCAGGGCUCCGUGGAGCAGCUCACGCCGCUGCCGUUCACCGACGAGGUGGGCGUCGAGGAGGCGGCGUCGAGUCAGGAGACGAGCACGGGCACGUCGGCGCCGCUCCCGACGGCCCGACAGCAGGGCCCCGUGGCGGAGCAGUUCGCGGCUGUUCCGCUCACGGAUGAGGUGGUCGUGGAGGAGGGGCUGUCGAGUCAGGAGACGAGCUCGGGCAUGCCGGAGCCUUCGCCGGCGCCUCAGGAGCAGGGCUCCGUGCAGCAGUUCGCCGCGGUUUCGCUCAGCGAGGAGGUCGGUGUUGAGAAGGGGACGUCAACUCCGAAGACGAGCACGGGCAUGCCGGAGCCUUCGCCGGUGCCUCAGGAGCAGGGCUCCGUGCAGCAGUUCGCCGCGGUUUCGCUCAGCGAGGAGGUCGGUGUUGAGAAGGGGACGUCAACUCCGAAGACGAGCACGGGCACGCCGGAGCCUUCGCCGGUGCCUCAGGAGCAGGGCUCCGUGCAGCAGUUCGCCGCGGUUUCGCUCAGCGAGGAGGUGGGUGUUGAGAAGGGGACGUCAACUCCGAAGAUGAGCACUGGCACGCCCACGAUGCCGCCGGAUCCUUCACCACCGCUGAGGAGUAGGCAUCGGCCUCCGGGAGUGCCAGCUGACGCGCCGCAGGAGGUGGUGCGGGCUGUGGAUGCGGCGGUCAUGGGCAAUCGUGGGGGUGGGAUGGACUGCCUCCUCGAGAUGGUCUCUGAGGGGCAGGGCGAGUUACCGCACUCCGUCGUUGACGUUCUGCUCGGAACCAUGGGCGGCGUGGAUGGCCUCGAUGAGGUUAGGGACACCACUGGCACUGGCACUUCCCCGAGCAUCAUGUCCAACUCGGGCGCCGCCAUCACUGCAGCGGAGCUCCUGCCUCACCUCCCCUUCAGCGAGGAGCCAUCACCACGCACUCGUAUGGCUGUGGGCCUGCACGCCGCGCUAAGGGCCUGCACCCGUAACCGUGCUAUGUGCUCUUCGUCAGGCCUCCUAGCUGUACUCCUUGAGUCUGCAGAGAAGCUGUUCGUUGGAACAGGCCGGAGUAGUACUUCCCCGAGUAGCUGGGACGGGACACCACUGCUUCAGUGCAUUCAGCUCUUGGGUGGCCACUCACUUAGUGUGAAGGACCUCCAUUCCUGGCUUGGCUUGGUUAAGAAGGUGCUCGGAACAAGCUGGGCCACGCCACUGAUGCUGGCACUUGAGAAAGCUAUGGGUAGCGAGGAAGCAAGAGGUCCUGCUGCAACGUUUGAGUUUGAUGGGGAGAGCUCUGGUCUGCUUGGUCCUGGCGAUAGCAGGUGGCCCUUCUCAAGUGGCUAUGGAUUUGCUACUUGGAUCUAUAUAGAAUCAUUCUCUGACACACUUAGCACAGCAACAGCCGCUGCUGCCAUAGCUGCGGCUGCAGCAGCAACAUCUGGAAAAUCAUCAGCAAUGUCAGCAGCUGCAGCGGCCAGUGCCCUUGCAGGAGAAGGUACAAUACACAUGCCACGGCUUUUCAGCUUUCUCUCUUCGGAUAACCAGGGUGUGGAGGCUUACUUCCAUGGCCAAUUCUUGGUGGUGGAGAGCGGGGGCGGGAAGGGUAAGAAGGCUUCUCUGCACUUCACUUAUGCGUUCAAGCCUCGGCGCUGGUACUUUGUUGGGCUAGAGCACACAAACAAGCAUGGUUUGCUUGGGAAGGGAGACAGUGAAUUGAGGUUGUAUGUGGAUGGUAGCCUGCAUGAGAGCCGUGCUUUUGAUUUCCCGCGCAUAUCGAAACCGCUGGCAUUUUGCUGCAUUGGGACGAAUCCACCACCAACUAUUGCAGGCCUGCAGAGGCGUCGACGGCAAUGUCCAUUGUUUGCCGAAAUGGGCCCCAUCUACAUCUUCCGGGAGCCAAUAGGUCCAGACAGAAUGAGUCGGCUGGCACUCCGGGGAGGAGAUAUACUUCCCACUUUUGGAAAUGGUGCAGGUUUUCCAUGGAAGGCAACGAACGACCAUAUUAAGAACAUGGCAGAAGAGAGCUUUGCACUGAACCAUGAGAUUGGGGGCUCCUUGCACCUUCUUUAUCACCCUAGUCUUCUCAGUGGCCGUUUUUGUCCAGAUGCUUCCCCUUCUGGUUCAGCAGGAACUCAUCGAAGGCCUGCAGAGGUUCUUGGGUUGGUUCAUGUUUCACCUCAUGUGCGGCCUGCGGAAUCUUUGUGGGCCUUAGCUUAUGGGGGUCCAAUGGCUUUACUUCCAUUAACUGUGAGCGGUGUGCAGAUGGAUACUCUUGAGCCUGCACUUGGUGAAUUGUCGUUGUCACUUGCCACUGCUUCCCUUUCUGCUCCAAUCUUCAGGAUUAUUUCCCUGGCUAUUCAACAUCCUGGCAAUAAUGAAGAAUUAUGCCGUACAUGUGCACCUGAGCUUUUGUCACGCGUUUUACAUUAUCUGUUGCAAGCAUCUUCAAAGCUGGGAAGUGGAGAAAAAGAGGGAGUGACUAAUGAGGAGCUAGUCGCUGCAAUUGUAUCUUUGUGCCAAUCUCAAAGAAACAAUCAUGAGCUUAAAGUGCAGCUUUUCAGGACUUUGCUGUUGGACUUGAAGAUGUGGAGUUCAUGCAACUACGGUUUACAGAAGAAGCUUCUGUCCUCACUUGCAGACAUGGUAUUUACUGAGUCUAUUUGCAUGCGAGAUGCAAAUGCAUUGCAAAUGCUUCUUGAUGGUUGCAGAAGGUGUUACUGGGCGAUUCGGGAACCAGAUUCUAUCGAUAACUUACCACUUACUGGAACAAAGAGAUCCUUGGGUGAAGUGAAUGCUCUGAUUGAUGAGCUUUUGGUUGUUAUCGAACUUCUGCUAGGAGCAGUAUCUUCCACGGCUGCUUCGGAUGAUGUUUGCUCUUUGAUUGGAUUUAUUGUUGACUGCCCACAACCUAAUCAGGUAGCAAGGUUGCUUCACCUCAUCUAUAGGCUGAUUGUGCAGCCUAACAUUUCUAGAGCCAACAUGUUUGCUCAGUCAUUUAUAUCUAGUGGUGGUGUGGAAGCACUUCUCGUUCUUCUACAGCGAGAAGCUAAAGCUGGCAAUAACCAUAUUUUGGACAAUAGUGCAAAUUUAAGUGAAUGUGAUGUAGUGAGUAAUGAGGGUUCUGACGCAAAAGCUAUGACCGGUGAAGGAUAUUACCAGGAUGAUGAAAGUCAGUUAGCUGAACAGCAUGAAUCCAUUGUUCAUGAAGACACUGAACAGGAAGCUGCAAAAACAAAUGGUGCUUCUUUUAAGAUGUUGGGAGCAAAAAUAGGAAGAAAGAUUUCUAACUCUGAGAAUCAGCUCAUAAAGAAUUUGGGUGGCAUCAACUUCUCAAUUACUGCUGAUAACGUCCGGAAUAAUGUAUACAAUGUUGACAAAAGUGAUGGAAUCGUUGUUGGAAUCAUUCGCAUUCUGGGUGCUCUAGUUGCAUCAGGACACCUAAAAUUUGCCUCGAGUUCUUCAAAUCCAAAUUUACCUGAUGGUCUUCUGACGACAGUUCAUGACGAAGGAAAUACUAUGUCAGAAGACAGAGUAUCACUGUUACUUUUUGCGUUACAGAAAGCAUUCCAAGCAGCCCCAAGGAGGCUUAUGACUGCAAAUGUCUAUAUGGCUUUAAUUUCUGCUGCGAUUAAUGUUUCUUCAGCUGAUGAAAAUCUGAACCUAUAUGAUUGUGGCCACCGUUUUGAACACAUUCAACUUCUGCUAGUGCUGCUCCGCACGCUUCCGUAUGCACCAAGGUCAUUCCAAGCUCGUGCUAUACAGGAUAUUCUGUUUUUGGCUUGCAGUCAUCCUGAGAAUAGAACCACAAUGACCACAAUUGCAGAAUGGCCAGAAUGGAUUUUAGAGGUUUUGAUUUAUAAUCAUGAGAAGGGUAGUAAAAAAUAUGUCGAUGGUGUAAGCAUUGGUGAGAUUGAAGACCUUGUACACAAUUUCCUGAUUAUCAUGUUGGAGCAUUCAAUGCGACAAAAAGAUGGGUGGAGGGAUGUGGAGGCUACAAUUCAUUGCGCAGAGUGGCUUUCAUUGAUUGGAGGAUCUAGCACUGGAGACCAACGGUUUAGGCGCGAACAGUCAUUACCAAUUUUCAGAAGGAGAUUAUUAGGUGACCUGCUUGAUUUCUCUGCCAGGGAGCUUCAAGUUCAGACUGAAGUAAUUGCAGCAGCUGCUGCUGGUGUUGCUGCUGAGGGCUUGUCUCCUGAAGAAGCAAAAGUGCAAGCAGAAAAUGCUGCUCAUCUCUCAGUAGCACUAGCAGAAAAUGCAAUAGUUAUCCUCAUGCUUGUAGAAGAUCAUCUGAGGACACAAGGCCAACAUUAUUGUGUGUCCCGUGUACUCAAUAGUGUUUUUUCUUCCGCCUCCAUUGCUUCGUCUGCUCCCAGUCGGACAAAUUCAUUGAGCAGAGCUGGUAGUGAGCAUAUGGAUACUGGACUCUCAAGGCGGUCAUCUUUGUCCAGUGAUGCUGGUGGCCUUCCACUAGAUGUGCUUACUUCUAUGGCUGAUGCAAAUGGACAAAUUUCUGCUGCCGUGAUGGAACGCCUUACAGCAGCAGCAGCAGCUGAGCCAUAUGAAUCUGUCAAGCAUGCCUUUGUGUCUUAUGGGAGCUGCAUUGCAGAUCUCGCAGAAAGCUGGAAAUACAGAAGCCGCUUAUGGUAUGGUGUAGGCGUUCCAUCCAAAUCUGAUUUAUUUGGUGGUGGUGGAAGUGAUUUAGAAUCUUGGAGAUCUGUUUUAGAGAAGGACUCAAAUGGGAAUUGGGUUGAGCUUCCACUUGUGAAGAAAUCACUCGAAGUGCUGCAGGCACUCUUGUUAGAUGAUUCUGGACUUGGUGGUGGUCUUGGUAUUGGAGGGGGGUCUGGCCCUGGUAUGGGGGUUAUGGCUGCACUUUAUCAAUUGCUAGAUAGUGAUCAGCCAUUUCUUUGCAUGCUCAGAAUGACUCUUGUUUCGAUGAGGGAGGAUGACAAUGGUGAAGGUGAUGCUCUUUUGAAGAACACUAGUAUAAAGGACGUCAUAUCAGAAGGAAGCCUGGUGCCAUUUGAUGGCAACAGUCACUCAUCUACAAGGAAACCCCGGCCUGCACUUCUUUGGAGUGUGCUUGGCCCAAUCUUGAAUAUGCCUAUUACUGAGUCGAAGAGGCAGAGGGUGUUGGUUGCUUCUUCUAUUCUCUAUUCAGAGGUAUGGCAUGCUAUUAGCAGGGACAGAAGCCCCCUAAGGAAACAGUACAUUGAGCUGAUUUUACCACCAUUUAUAGCCAUCCUAAGAAGGUGGCGGCCACUUUUGGCUGGUGUUCAUGAGCUAACUUCUUAUGAUGGACGGAAUCCACUCAUUGCUGAUGAUCGUGCUCUGGCAGCAGAUGCACUACCCAUCGAGGCUGCUCUUUCAAUGAUAUCGCCUGGCUGGGCUGCUGCUUUUGCCUCACCCCCGGUUGCAAUGGCAUUAGCCAUGAUGGCUGCUGGUGCCUCCGGAACCGAAACAGUAACACCUCAAAGGAAUACCUUGAGUAGGCAUGACACUUCUUUGCCAGAGCGUAAAGCAGCAGCAAGAUUACAGACCUUCUCAAGUUUCCAGAAGCCUGUUGAAACAAUGCACAACAAGCCUGGGUCCAUCCCAAAGGACAAAGCAGGAGCUAAAGCUGCGGCAUUAGCUGCUACACGUGACCUCGAGCGGACUGCUAAGAUUGGUUCAGGAAGGGGUCUUAGUGCUGUAGCAAUGGCAACAUCAGGACAGAGGAGAAGUGCAAGUGAUAUCGACCGUGCAAAGAGGUGGAAUACAUCUGAAGCUAUGAGUGCUGCUUGGAUGGAGUGCCUGCAAUCAGCUGAUUCUAAGCCUGUUUCAGGAAGAGAAUUUUCAACCCUUUCAUACAAAUAUGUUGCAAUUCUUGUUUCUGGUUUUGCCUUUGCACGGAACUUACAGCGAGUUGAGAUGGAGAGGCAAACACAAGCUGAUGUGCUGAAUCGGCAUCGUGCAUCAACUGGAGUUCGAGCAUGGCGGCAUCUUCUUCACUGCCUGACAGAGAUGGGAAGACUAUAUGGACCUUUUGAAGAACCCCUGUGUACUCCUGAUCGGAUUUUCUGGAAAUUAGAUUUUACUGAAAGUUCUUCAAGAAUGAGAAGAUUUAUGAAAAGGAACUAUAAGGGAUCUGAUCAUUUGGGUGCUGCUGCUGAUUAUGAUGAUCGGAAGCUUCUUAGUGCUGCUGUGCAAUCAAAUGAAUGCAACCCCAAGGGUGCAGACUCUUCAUUAACAGACACCAUUCCAUCAACUGCAUCGGUAGUAAUUGCUGAGGCCAUGUCAGUGGAUGACAGAAAUGAGGACAUUGAGCAGUUAGAAUCCGACACUACUCACAGCAGUGCUGAUCAACUUCAGUCCUCAUCAGCAGAUCAACAAUCGAUGAAAAGAUCAGUAGAUUCAAGAAGUUCUGGUAUUUCUGCCGAUCGCAAUUUGGUUCGAUCCACAGUUGUUGCACCUGGAUAUGUGCCAACUGAAGCUGAUGAGAGAAUUAUAGUUGAACUUCCAUCAUUGAUGGUGCGACCAUUGAAAGUUGUGCGUGGAACCUUCCAAGUAACAUCAAAGAGGAUUAACUUUAUAAUUGACGAGCAUGCAAGUGACAGUAAUGUGGAUGAUCAUGCAUCCACUAGUGGCCAAUGUUAUCAGCAAGAUAAAGAUCGGAGCUGGUUGAUCUCUUCUCUACAUCAGAUAUAUAGCAGGCGGUACUUGUUACGACGAAGUGCUUUGGAAUUAUUUAUGGUAGAUAGGUCAAAUUUCUUUUUUGAUUUCGGGGAUAUGGAAGCACGCAAAAAUGCUUAUCGGGCGAUUAUUCACACCAAACCACCUAAUUUGAAUGACAUUUUUCUAGCUACCCAGAGAGCUGAGCAAAUCCUUAAAAGAACUCAGUUGAUGGAGCGCUGGGCUAACUGGGAGAUUAGCAAUUUUGAGUACUUGAUGGAACUGAACACUCUUUCUGGGCGCAGUUAUAACGACAUAACUCAGUAUCCUGUUUUCCCCUGGAUAAUUGCUGAUUACCAGUCCAAAGUUUUGAAUCUGGAUGAUCCUUCUGCAUUCCGUGAUCUUUCAAAGCCAGUUGGAGCACUAAACCCAGAACGACUAAAGAAGUUCCAAGAACGGUACUCGACGUUUGAGGAUCCAAUCAUCCCGAAGUUUCAUUAUGGUUCACAUUACUCCAGUGCUGGCACGGUCUUGUAUUACCUUUUCAGGAUGGAGCCCUUUACCACACUAUCUAUACAAUUGCAAGGUGGCAAAUUUGACCAUGCUGAUCGCAUGUUUUCUGACCUUUCUGGUACAUGGGAUAGUGUUGUGGAAGACAUGAGUGACGUAAAAGAGCUAGUCCCAGAGAUGUUUUACCUCCCUGAGGUAUUUACCAACAUAAAUUCUAUUGACUUCGGGACAACUCAACUUGGAGGAAAGCUAGAUUCUGUAGAGUUGCCUCCUUGGGCCGAGAACCCUGUUGAUUUUGUCCAUAAACACCGGAAGGCUCUUGAGAGUGAGCAUGUCUCGACUCAUUUGCAUCACUGGAUUGAUCUAAUAUUCGGAUAUAAACAGAGGGGUAAAGAUGCGGUAAUGGCCAACAAUGUGUUCUUCUACAUCACUUAUGAGGGAACUGUUGAUAUUGACAAAAUUGCAGAUCCAGUGCAACGGCGAGCCAUGCAAGAUCAAAUAGCCUACUUUGGACAAACACCGUCUCAAUUGCUGACUGUCCCUCACAUGAAGAGAAAGUCAUUGAGAGAUGUCUUACAACUGCAGACCAUAUUCCGGAAUCCAAGUGAGCUUAAAUCUUAUGUACUGCCUAAUCCAGAACGCUGCAAUGUCCCUGCAAGUACCAUGCUUGUAUCAAAUGAUUCUAUUGUAGUUGUAGAUAUAAAUGUGCCCGCGGCGCAUGUGGCACUUCACCAGUGGCAACCAAAUACUCCAGAUGGCCAAGGGACACCUUUCCUUUUUCAUCAUGGUAGAAAUGCUGCAAGUUCAACAAGUGGUGCAUUCAUGCGUAUGUUCAAAGGAUCCACUAGUUCUGGAGAAGAUUAUGAGUUCCCAAGAGCUAUAGGGUUUGCUGCUUCUGCAAUCCGUAGUUCAGCUAUUGUUGCUGUCACAUGUGACAAAGACAUCAUCACUGGUGGGCAUGCGGACUGUUCGGUGAAGUUGAUCUCCCCAGACGGAGCAAGGACAAUUGAAAGUGCUUCUGGGCAUCUUGCUCCAGUAACCUGCCUUGCACUUUCCCCUGAUAGCAACUACCUUGUGACAGGGUCUCGAGAUACUACAGUUAUACUCUGGAGGAUUCAUCAGGCAGGCUUUAUACAUAAGAAAAAUCCUCCUGAACCUCCACCUGCAACACCAAGGACACCACGCAGCCCUCUUCCUACUAGUCCUAGUAGCAUGAGCAACCUUUUAGAAACCAGGAAGUGUCGAAUCGAAGGUCCUAUGCAUGUGUUAAGAGGACACCUUGGAGAAGUAAUUAGCUGUGCAGUUGGUCCAGACUUGGGACUUGUUGUAUCCUCGUCAAACAUGUCUGGUGUGCUGCUACAUUCUUUGCGGACAGGUCGGCUGAUAAAGAAGAUUCAUGUAGCGGAGGCGCAUGCUGUAUCCUUGUCUUCUCAGGGAAUCAUAUUGGUUUGGAGUGAAUCAAAGAAAAGAUUAUCUAGCUUCACAGUCAAUGGAGUCCCUAUUGCUACCUCAGUUCUAUCACCUUUUUCUGGGGGAGUUAGUUGCAUUGAGAUUUCUAUGGAUGGUCAUUUUGCCCUGAUUGGAACUUGUUCGUCCAGCAAUUACAAGUGUGAGGACAAUACUGAGGUAGCAGAUCAUGAGCCCAACAAAUCAAGUCGCAAGGUUGAUAUAUCUGAGCAAACUGAAAUCAGGCAAUCUGUUAACGUGCCUUCGAUCUGCUUUGUUGAUCUGCAUAAACUUAAGGUGUUUCAUACACUGGAGCUUGGAAAGGGCCAGGACAUCACAGCAAUUGCAUUAAACAAAGAGAACACUAAUCUUCUAGUUUCUACUGCCGAUAAGGGCCUAAUGGUUUUCACUGAUCCUGCCUUGAGCCUGAAGGUAGUGGAUCAGAUGCUACGCCUUGGCUGGGAAGGUGACGGACUUCUUCAGUCAUCAGAAAGCCAUCGAUGUUAA